CCAGAGCCUUCGUGGCGGAUCUUUGGUCGCGUACAGCCGCGCCUCCUCUUCCUCCUCCACGCUGCGCUCGAGAGGCCGCGCCACUUCCUGGGGUAUAGACUGGGCUAUAAGGGCUCUCUCAGACCAGACCAGCUCGGUUCCAGGUGUGUGUGUGGUGGGAGUCCUGUAUGCUUUGAAGAGGAGAGCGGCAAGAAGCCUCUUAACUCCCAGGCCAGCGUGCAGGAGAGCAGCUGGUUUUACAGUCUACACUGGGCUACACACGGUCCCAUGAGCAACAUGGAUGCAGCUGGAGGCCAUUAU